rnacentral:lncRNA from 1 species
AGGGAAAGACCUGCAGAACAAUAACAAUCUCCAGAUCAGAACCACACCUCCCUGCUCCAUCACACUGACUGAGGAGCUCAGAGGUCCAAACCCUGUUCAUACUUGGACAUGCUAGCUGACUGCAGGAGGGCAGGUUCAGACUUCUGUCUACCACACCAUCACAGUGAAAGGUGUUCAACCCACAACUUCCUCUACCUUUGUAUUGAAAUCCUCUCCCAGAAUGAAUACUUUCACCACUGCUUCCUCAAACUCAGGCCCAUCAGUUUCCUCAGAUGUUCCUCUGGUUGCUGUAGUUGUUGUCUCUGUCAGUCUGUUGGCUGCUGCAUUGAUGAUAAUUGUGAUGAUAUGAUAAGGACAAGUGAGUGUGUAACAUGCAACACUAUGAACAACUAGCACCUUUAUGGUGACAAUAACUUUAUGGUGACAAUACUAUAGUUCCAAAUUCAUCAUUUAAUCUUGUUCAUAUUUCAGAUGCUGGAGGAGAGCCAAGAGACAAAUCAGUAAGUAAAAAUGUAUUUUCACAGAAGCUGUCGUUCUACAGGGUUUUAUAUAUUUCACAUUUAUAUACGACACUGGUUUUACAUAUCACAUAAUUAUAUAAAAUUAUAUCAUAUUGU